AGAGAGAGAGAGAGAGAGAGAGGGUGCUCUUCAUGAGAGUAGCUCUGGACGGUGGGUUAGCAGAGGAGGAAACAAGAUUUUUUUAGUAGCUUGAUCGAACAUCAUCAUCAUCAUUAUGUGUAAUCCAGACAACACCACUACCCUGUUGACCGAGAAACCACCACAGAAGCCACGAACUCAUCUUUACAAUUACUUGGAUCUCUUAUCACUCCCCACCACCAUUAAAAGCCUGGAAAAUCUCAAAACAAAUCCACCACCACCACCGCCGCCGCCAGAAAUACACCCUUCUGUUUCAGACUUAAUCUCUGAAACUAAAUCACUUUUCAAACUCGCCUUCCCUAUAGCCCUAACCGCUAUCAUUAUUUACUCUCGCUCCAUUCUCUCUAUGCUCUUCCUGGGCCAUCUGGGUGACCUCGAGCUCGCCGCUGGCUCUCUUGCUAUUGCCUUCGCUAACAUCACCGGUUACUCUGUUCUCUCUGGCCUGGCUCUGGGCAUGGAACCUCUCUGUUCUCAGGCUUUUGGCGCUCAACGUCCAAAGCUCCUCUCUGUAACCCUUCAUCGCUCUGUGAUUUUCCUUCUAGUCUCCUCAAUACCCAUUUCUCUUCUAUGGCUUAACAUGUCCAAAAUUCUUCUCUAUCUUCAUCAAGAUCCCAACAUCACACGUCUCGCUCACACUUAUUUGCUCUUCUCGCUCCCUGACCUUUUAACCAACUCUUUCGUCCACCCAAUCCGCAUUUACCUUCGCGCUCAAGGUAUUACCCACCCUUUAACUAUAGCAUCUCUUACCGGCACGAUUCUUCAUUUACCUGUUAACCUUUUACUCGUCAAUCAUUUGAAGCUCGGGGUCUCCGGCGUCGCAGCUGCAGCCGCCGCUUCCAACUUCUUUGUGCUCUUGUCUUUAGUUUCUUACGUGUGGUUUUCUGGUUUGCACGAGCCAACGUGGACCAGGCCCAGCAGAGAAUGUUUCAGUGGCUGGAAGCCGCUAAUCCAGCUAGCAGGGCCGAGCUGUGUCUCAGUUUGUUUGGAGUGGUGGUGGUACGAGAUCAUGAUCGUUUUGUGUGGGCUCUUAGCCAACCCGAAAUCAACGGUUGCUUCUAUGGGCAUCCUAAUACAAACGACGUCGUUGCUUUAUGUUUUCCCUAGUUCGCUUGGAUUUGCUGUUUCCGCUCGGGUGGGUAAUGAACUCGGGGCAAACCGUCCUCACAAUGCCAAAUUAUCCGCUGUGGUGGCAGUGUUUAUUUCAGCGAUGAUGGGCCUAACGGCUUCCACUUUCGCAUCGGGAAUGAGAGAUAGGUGGGGCCAGAUGUUCACGAGCGAUUGGGAGACCCUACGGCUUACAUCUGCUGCACUGCCAAUCCUGGGGCUGUGCGAGCUCGGUAACUGUCCACAAACGGUAGGGUGUGGAGUCCUGAGAGGGAGUGCACGCCCGUCCAAAGCAGCCAACGUGAACCUAGGCGCAUUCUACCUCGUGGGCAUGCCAGUGGCCGUUGGACUUGGGUUUUGGCUUGGUGUUGGGUUUUGUGGGCUUUGGCUUGGGCUUCUAUCCGCCCAGGUGUGUUGUGCUGGGCUCAUGCUGUACGUUGUGGGGUCCACCGACUGGGAUUUGGAAUCUAAGAGAGCUCACAUGCUAACGUGCAUCGGCUGUGAUAAUAGGAGAUUGUUAAGUGAAGGUGAGGGCGAAGAAGAGCAGAGAUCAAUUUCCAUUACAGUGACUUCGGCCUGAUAACACCUAAAUGUCUAAAUGUAAAAUUAAUUAUUGCUCCUUUUUUUUGCCUUAUUUGGAAAUUUUUUGGCCCAUGUGGGUUUAUUUUGUGAAUUAUUGAUUUUUUUUUGGGUUGAAAGAGAACUUUGCAUAAAGAAUAUUAUAAAGAAA
rnacentral:misc_RNA from 1 species